rnacentral:rRNA from 1 species
UACGUAGGGUGCGAGCGUUAAUCGGAAUUACUGGGCGUAAAGGGUGCGCAGGCGGUUUUGUAAGCCAGAUGUGAAAUCCCCGGGCUCAACCUGGGAAUGGCAUUUGGGACUGCAAGGCUAGAGUGUGGCAGAGGAGACUGGAAUUCCUGGUGUAGCAGUGAAAUGCGUAGAUAUCUGGAGGAACACCGGUGGCGAAGGCGGCAUCCUGGACCGGUAUUGACGCUGAGGCGCGAAAGCCAGGGGAGCAAACGGG